CCCUGCAUGUGUGCAAGACGUUUCCGUGUGUGUGUUCUCCCUCCGGAAGGGGUUGGUUUCCCGGAGGGGUUAACCAUUUUCCUAGGAUGUGCAGUUGCUGGAGUCCUGGUUCUUUUGUGUUAGUACGGACUGCAUCCGGAAGGUGUUUGGAUGGCAGUGCGUCUGUUUGGGUUCCAGGUUACUUCAGCUGUGUUCUUCAUUGGUGUCUUCCAGCAGCUGCGGCAGAUAAAGAGACAGAGAAGGAAAAGAAGAAAUGAAAAAAUUAGAUUCCAGAAACAGCAACAAUACAAGGAAUGCCAAUUAUGACGUCAGUAUGGAAAGAUGCAGAAUGAUCCUGUCGCCCCCUCGUCUAAACAUUGGAACAUGUUCACUUAUUUGGAACUUUAGUUUGGCAAUAUUAUGUCCGGCAGCAUGAAAAUGUGCUGGUACAAGCAAUAAAAGGUUUUUCUGUCUCA